UACGUAGGGUGCGAGCGUUAAUCGGAAUUACUGGGCGUAAAGCGUGCGCAGGCGGUUCGCUAAGACCGAUGUGAAAUCCCCGGGCUCAACCUGGGAACUGCAUUGGUGACUGGCGGGCUAGAGUAUGGCAGAGGGGGGUAGAAUUCCACGUGUAGCAGUGAAAUGCGUAGAGAUGUGGAGGAAUACCGAUGGCGAAGGCAGCCCCCUGGGUCAACACUGACGCUGAGACGCGAAAGCGUGGGGAGCGAACAGG
rnacentral:rRNA from 1 species